CACACUAAUAAUAUUAUAAAACUUAAUACUGUCAACAAGAUAAAUAAAACGUUUCCGAGCUCACAAUCAACAUAAUAUUAUUAUUAUUAUUAUUCAACAAAAUAAGGACGGUUAAAAAUAUUGCUUACGUUACUUUUUGUUUUUGUUUUUUUGUUUUUUUAAGGCACUAUCGUCAUUUCGAUCGCUAUGAAAAAUCUCAUAACGUUUUAUAAUAUUAUUAUUAUAAUAAUUAAAAACAUAAAUAAUUAUGUCAUUGCGGUAAUUCAAUUA